rnacentral:lncRNA from 1 species
UCUCCGAUUGAAGCCGCGACCCUUGAUUCGUGCUCGCCAUGAUUUCUUGCCGGCAGGAUCAUCGGAGGCUGAGGUAAGCCUUCCUCUUCUUCCUCUUUUCUCUCUCCUUCUUCCCGUGCCUCUGUGCAUGACUGCCGGCGACGGGUGUCGUCGGAUUUCGUCGAAGAAGGGACCCCUGUUUGGUCUCUUCUUCUCUUUGAUUUUUCGGUGCCGGCGAUCCCUGCCA